rnacentral:tRNA from 1 species
GCGGGAAUAGCUCAGUGGUAGAGCACAACCUUGCCAAGGUUGGGGCCGCGAGUUCGAUCCUCGUUUCCCGCU